CUUAACAGCAGCAACACAGCACUGGCUUCUGUUUCUGGCGAUUACUUGAGGAUGAUCUGUUUCGGAGGCAAAGACAAGUCACUGAGUAGUUUCACACAACAGUUGUGGCUCUCAUGCAGUUUCCUGAUUCAAAGUGUUGAUUUCUCAUCUGUUAAUACUCUCCCACUCAGGCUCCACUGUCAGCGGUGCUGUGUUGCAUGAUGUGACAGCUAGUCGUGGCUAGAAUAAAGCAUUUUACAUUGCAAUGAUGGAUGUCAAAAUGUUCUUGAGUCAGGCACAAGACUUUACUUGUAGUGCAGACAGUUAGUGUUGAAAAAUGCAAAAGAAUAAACUGUUGCAGAUUAUGUGUUGCAUUACAUCCUUUAUUUAGACUCUCACAGAUCAGCUCAGAGCUGGUACUCAGAAGUGUUAAUCAGCGGGUUAAAUGAUUUUUCCCAUGAAAAUUUCACAGACUACACAAUUCUCAAUCCUACCCGACCCACCUACUAUCUAAAAUCAUUCACUGCAUAGUCACUGAACAUCAGCUUUGAAUGCAACACUUGUGCAGCAUAUAUUGUGCAUUAAAACAUGCAUUGGCUAAUUACACAGGG